rnacentral:rRNA from 1 species
UACGAGAGGUCCAACCGUUAUUCGGAAUCACUGGGCGUAAAGCGCACGUAGGCGGGUCCUUAAGUCAGGGGUGAAAUCCUGGAGCUCAACUCCAGAACUGCCUUUGAUACUGAGGAUCUCGAGUUCGGGAGAGGUGAGUGGAACUGCGAGUGUAGAGGUGAAAUUCGUAGAUAUUCGCAAGAACACCAGUGGCGAAGGCGGCUCACUGGCCCGAUACUGACGCUGAGGUGCGAAAGCGUGGGGAGCAAACAGG